CGCCGCCCGCCGUUCCCCUGCACCCAGCCCCCCAGCCCCCGUGUCCUCCACAAGAUCUGCGUCGCCGCAUUCACUCGCCCAGACCGUCGCCUCUCCCCCGCUCGCCCCACCCUCCACCGUUCCCCGCCGCCCCGCUGUUCCCCGUCGCCCGCCGUUCCCCUGCACCCAGCCCCGUGUCCUCCACAAGAUCUGUGCCGUCGCAUUCACUACUUCAUCACUGGGGCCACCGAGCACUCCACCACCGGCCUAACCAUAGGCGAGGGUGCUCUUUGGCCGGCGACACAAGAGGCGCGCGGGAGCUCUUCGACACACGACGCAACGAGGCGCGAGGGAUUUGAUGGAUUCGUGCGUCAUGUGUUCUCAUCUACUGCUCGUCUCAUGUUACCAUCCCCGUUGCCUUCCCUGCCUCUGCCGCCUGCGCUUCUACAUCUUGCAGCAUCCCGAUCUACAUCACGACGUGGCACCGCCAUGGGAGCAAGGGGGUCAGGGCAGCGCCGCUACCGAGGGGCGUGAGGGAAUCAAGGUUGCGCUACGCGGACUCACCCGAGCACUCAGCCCCCCUGCUUUUGUGGAUUCUCCGCUCCGGAUGACCUGGAGGGUGGCUGAUGGCGUGAUGCUUAGAUGGAUUGAUGCAUUUUUCAAUUUAGAUUUUUGCAGAGACUGGUUCGGCUUGUAAUAGCAGACGUAUGUUGAAACAUGGGAUCUAUCAAGCAAGAAAAGGUGGAGAUGAGGAGGUUGUGGAUGAAGAUGCUCCUGUAGAGUGAAGAGUAUGAAGCAGAAGAUGCGGCCCAGAUUUAAUGAGGCAAUGGGGGAAGAGGUUGUGGCUGGGGCCAGUACCAUGGCUAGAGUCCGGACAUGGCCAUCCAAUCAGCACUCCCCCCCUCGAAUCACAUUGGUAAGCAUCUAGUGGUGUCAAAGCCGCCUCCUGGUCUGCUUAUGCCGGAUGACACAAAAGGAUUUUCCAUGGGGCGAGGGAAACUCCAGGUCAGCCCCGCAAUGUUGUCUGAUAUUUAGUGGUACCCUGUUCUUGGUUGGAGUUGUUAAAAUAGCGCUUAUAUGACCCAUUUUGACGCGAUCCCAUGAAGAGGAAGGAUAGUAAUACCCUGAUACAUAUGUCAUGUAUACUGCAUUACGUUCGUCUUUUAGUAAUUCAUAUAUGUUAUGGUUCAUGUCAUCUUUAGUGCUUAUAACAACUUAAUAAGCGAAUGUGCAGGUUAUCCAGGGUAAAUGACUAGAUUACGUUUCAGGAUUACAACUCAGAAAUGAGCUUGGAUGCCUUCAUCUUACAACCAGAAACUCUUGUUUUAUGAUCAUGCACACAUUGAAUGCAAAGUAAAGUUUUUUUACCAUCCACGUUAAGAUUCUUAAUAUGGAACCAUGACCAUUUUUUGCAAGAUAUGACUUAGCAUUAAUGGUACAAUCUUCUUUGCUCAAGUAAUUCAAGGUAUGUUUCAUUGCUCAUUUAGGAUGGCCACUGAACCUCUUUAUGAACCAAGGAAGGCACACUCUCUAUGCACAAAGAACUUAGUGCUACUAUUUGUUUGUGUUAUUUGAAUUGAAAACGUUGACGCUCCGUGACAUGCCACAAUUCGAUCUUUUGUGCUUGUAUUGGUUCAUAUGUACAUGUCGUGUGCACGACUAACAAUUUGAAUGAACAAUUAUUUAUAUUAUUUCAUGACAUGCAACAAUUUGGAUGACCAUCAUGUUUGACCAAUUUUAUGUUAAUCUAGACGUGCGUUGCACGUGCAUACUUACUAGUAAUCUCUCACGACUGCUUCUUUUCUAUAGGCCCCCUCUUAAUAUCUCGCAUCUCAUGCUGUCAAAAAACAAAUAUCUCACAUCCCAUAUCUCACGACUCUCCUUCCCCUAUUUUCUAGGUCAGCAAAGCAAAAAAAGAAUCGCGAUCUCAGAAGCCUAGCCAUCCUCGGCGGCGACCGUCUUCUCUACCGAUAUGAUGGCAGUUCUUCAUCGUCUAUAGCUCCCAGGCGGCGUUCUUAGAAGCCUAGACCAUGGCAUGACGCCUUCUACCAGCACUCCUCCAUUGCUACAUGCCUAGACACAAUCAUCCUCAGGACAGGAACGGAGCACCAAUUGCAAUGACCCUCAGGUUUAAAAUAUGUAUGAUUGCUUUGCUGCGAGGACUGUUCGGGUUGUGUCUUGGCCUUGAAUUUGAUGAACGAUAAUCAGUUCUUUGGUGAGACGCCCAGUUGUAGGUGGUUGAAGGAUAUAUCAUAAAGCAUCGACUGGAUGUUCAUGGUGUCCAAUAUUUUCAGAUCAUGUGAUACAUAGCCAAGAACAGAAUAGUUAGCAGAAUACCAGUCCAAAUUGAGAAGAUUUUUCGUUGGGCAUCAUACUGCCAAACAUUCAUAAAGUUAUGCCAUGAGAUGUGAGUUAGCAUCAACCUCCCCGUUGCUUCUAUAAAACUAAAAACUUCUCUGCUGCUUCUCAUCUCAUGUGAAAGGCAUAUGCCAGUACACAACAAUGUCUCCCAGUGAAUGUACGGAUAGCAUACAUGUGAAUCUUCUUACAAUUUAAUCUUGACGUUUUCGAAUGAUUGUCUAUUCUGCUUCUGAUCGUGAUGAUGUACAAAACAGUGUGCAAAGUGCGCGCACUAGGGACAGAAUAUCUUAAUGUAACAAAUAAACAGGAAUACUGCUACUUCAUCCAGCAACAGGGGUAGCAUACUCAAUGCUGACUGUACUAGCUCCUUUUGUAUGCUUUUGACGUUACGUUACUAAUUAAUUCUACUCUCAUCCUCUGUUAUAUAGAGGUAAUGAAUUGGCAUAAGAGUUAUAAUAUUGUUAGGCGCAAGAUUAAGGUGUGAAUAUGAUUUUUGUAGGCCAGCAUGUAAAUAUGUUCUAUAUAGUUAUAUCGGAAUCGUUUGGUUAUUCAUCGGGUUCUACAGUUUAUCGGGUUUUUAUUCAUAGUUAUGCCUGAAUCAUUUGUUUUUAUUCAACGUGUUUUAUAGUUAAUCAGGUUUCCAUAGUUUUAUUUUGUCUGAAUCAGCAUGAUCUAAUAAGGAAACCCAUAAUAGUCUGCCAUGAGAAAUGCUAGAUAUCACAAAAACUCAUUUUAGUACAGUUAAUAUCUGCUUCUCCUU